rnacentral:rRNA from 1 species
GAUGAACGCUGGCGGCGUGCUUAAUACAUGCAAGUCGAGCGAGGACCACCUGGUGGCAACACCGGGUGACUCCUAGCGGCGAACGGGUGAGUAACACGUGGGCAACCUGCCCCCGACUCUGGGAUAAGCCCGGGAAACUGGGUCUAAUACCGGAUACGAGCCUCCUCCGCAUGGUGGAGGUUGGAAAGGGUCUCCGGUCGGGGAUGGGCCCGCGGCCUAUCAGCUUGUUGGUGGGGUAACGGCCCACCAAGGCGACGACGGGUAGCCGGCCUGAGAGGGUGAACGGCCACACUGGGACUGAGACACGGCCCAGACUCCUACGGGAGGCAGCAGUAGGGAAUAUUGCGCAAUGGGCGAAAGCCUGACGCAGCGACGCCGCGUGAGGGAUGACGGCCUUCGGGUUGUAAACCUCUUUCAGCAGGGAAGAAGCGAAAGUGACGGUACCUGCAGAAGAAGCACCGGCCAACUACGUGCCAGCCGCCGCCGUAAAC